CGCGAAUGGCUCAUUACAACAGCUAUGAUCUACUUGAUCUUGACACUAUUCCUACUCGGAUAACUGUGGUAAUUCUAGAGCUAAUACAUGCACAAAAGCCUUGACCUCGCGGAAGGGGCGCAUUUAUUAGAGCAAAACCAGGCGACCUCGGUCGUUGUUGCUGACUCAGAAUAACUCAGCUGAUCGCACGGUCUCGUACCGGCGACGUGUCUUUUGAGUAUCUGCCUUAUCAAUUUUCGAUGGUAGUGUAUCUGACUACCAUGGUUUUGACGGGUAACGGAGAAUCAGGGUUCAACUCCGGAGAAGGGGCCCGAGAAAUGGCCACUACGUCUAAGGAUGGCAGCAGGCGCGCAAAUUACCCACUCUCGGAAUGAGGAGGUAGUGACGAGAAAUAACGAGACCGUUCUCUUUGAGGCCGGUCAUCGGAAUGGGUACAAUCUAAACCCUUUAACGAGUAUCUAUGAGAGGGCAAGUCUGGUGCCAGCAGCCGCGGUAAUUCCAGCUCUCAAAGUGCAUAGAACCAUUGUUGCGGUUAAAAAGCUCGUAGUUGAAUCUAGGUCUGAGGCCUGGUCCACACUCUGUGUGCGCACUAGGUUCUUUGGCUUUGACGUCGGUUUACUUGUCGUCGCCUUUACUGGCGGCGGCCGGUGGCUGGCAAUGUUACUUUGAACAAAUCAAAGUGCUCAAAACAGGCGUUUCGCUUGUAUGCUUUUGCAUGGAAUAAUAGAAUAUGACUUCGGUCUGGUUUUAUUGGUUUUAUAGAUCGUUGUAAUGAUUAACAGGGACAAGCGGGGGCAUUCGUAUUGUUGCGUGAGAGGUGAAAUUCUUGGACCGUAGCAAGACGACCGACAGCGAAAGCAUUUGCCAAGCUUGUCUUCAUUAAUCAAGAACGAAAGUCAGAGGAUCGAAGGCGAUCAGAUACCGCCC
rnacentral:rRNA from 1 species